CCCUGUCCGCCCAAGGCUCCAACAAUACAUGUAUAACAAUAGCAAUUCAAACAUAAUGAAUGCAAGUAUACACGGCUUACACGAGGGCAAGCAACAACCAAACAUAAGUGAGAGCAAUCUAACUAUUACAUUUAUACAUUGUAUAUUGAUCACUUUCAAUUAAAUACAAAGCUUAUACAAUUUCUUUACAUUCAUUCAUCUCAAUAUUACAAUUUCAUCUCACAAAUGAACUUACUACAUUUUCACCUCUCACAUGAUUUUAUUACAUUUAUAUUUUACAUUUUACAUCAUCGACAUAAUAGAUGAAAUAUACAAGGGUGCCUCUAUACAUAAAGGUAGCACACUACCUAGAGCACGAUAACCACGCCACGAGCCCCGAUCGCCCCGCUCGCGCUAGAACCUGCAUGGUUAGUGGGAUGAGAACUAGAAGAAGUUCCCAGUGGGUUCGGCCACCGACUGCGCCGAUUCGCCCACUAGGUCUAUUUCAGGCAUAUGUAUUUCAAUAAAGAAGGAUAACAAACCAACUAAUGCACUUCUAAUACAAUGCCUGCAAGAAAGCAAAUCACAGAUAGAUAUUCAUAUUCAAAUACAUGAUGAUUAUGCAUGCAUGUCCUUUUCACUUUCCUAUGGUCAACUCGGGGUGCUCCUGGUUUACCCCAACACACAGUCCACACACUUUCCUUUGGCCUUUACCCAAUCAACCUGGGGUGCUCCUGGUCUACCCCAACUCACAGUCCACAUAUCCAUCUAACGGGGGAGGCACAAGGCACUACCGCCCGAAGGAUCUUCGCCGGGCACGUCCACCCGUGGUGUUUUCAUCACUCCGGAGUACACCGCCUGUGGAGGAGCGACCUCCCACAAGCCGGAACCAAUACAUGUGAGUAUGAUCCCCUCCUCAAUU
rnacentral:lncRNA from 1 species